UGCUCGAGUGGCGAACGGGUGAGUAACACGUGAGUAACCUGCCCUUGACUUUGGGAUAACUUCAGGAAACUGGGGCUAAUACCGGAUAGGAGCUCCUGCUGCAUGGUGGGGUUUGGAAAGUUUCGGCGGUUGGGGAUGGACUCGCGGCUUAUCAGCUUGUUGGUGGGGUAGUGGCUUACCAAGGCUUUGACGGGUAGCCGGCCUGAGAGGGUGACCGGCCACAUUGGGACUGAGAUACGGCCCAG
rnacentral:rRNA from 1 species